rnacentral:misc_RNA from 1 species
GCCUUUCUUUGUAACCCUCGAUAUAUCUAACAUUGAAUCAAUCUGGGGCGAUGGUGAUCUCAUCGAAUCGCUUAGCUCCAUUCCAUUCUCUCAACAUCUCUGAAGCUUCAAGUACUCUGUCAUCCCCAAUAUCAUACACAUAGACGCCAUAAUGUGCAUCUUGAGGUACAGUCUACCUCCUUCAAAACUAUCACAUGUCUCGAAGGGUUCAUAAGGGCAUAUUCCCGAACACCUGGUAGAGGAAGCACAAGCUUUCUCCUGCUCUUUAUGACGACCUCUUUUGAAAUAAAGCAAUCUAGCAUCCAUUGAAAAUCAUCUUCUGUUAUUUCUG